rnacentral:lncRNA from 1 species
GGAUGUCUAACUUGAGGAAAAACCCUAUCCUAAUUAGGCCUUACUACAAACCUUAAACAAACCUACCUACUUGGCUAAAACACAUAGCCUAAGAAAACCUACAUUUUCUUCAACCUCCCUAAUAGCCUAAGAGAAAGAGCUUGCCUCACCUUGCAUAAAUGACUCCUAGCUUCUUCUUGAAAUUGCUUAGGCCAUAGCUAGGGGUAUUCAAUUAAUAUCUCUUCUCAAGAGUGAACUGUCAUCCUUUAGUCUUAAUGGUAUAUUCUUUCAUUUUGUAUAUAUGUUCUUUAGACGAUGUUGUAACGCUUAUUUCAUUUGACAAAUUUUUG